AAGGGCUUAGGUUAAGUAAACCCCAAGUCUCCAAAACUUGUAUCAAGCCUCUAGGCUUAGCCCUUG
rnacentral:tRNA from 1 species